UGGAAGAAUCCCAGGAAUAGAACCCCCAACACCAUUAUUGUUACUACUAUAUCCCUGGUUACCAACAACACUCAUACCACCUCUACUUGUCAUGCCAGAAUGACCAUGAGAACUUCCCUGGGAUAUCUGUGAAAGGGCUACCGGAAUAUUAUUUGAUGCAAAACGACCACCAGAGAGGCUAUUCCCAGAUUGUUGGACUCCACUUGAAGGGACAUUAUUUAUUGCUGUGUUUCUUGAACCAAGUGUACCCGGCAUGUUAGGAACACUGAAACUUCCAUGAACAUUAUGAAGGCCCUGAAUAUUUCCAGAGUGAUGAUAAAGAGGGGAAGCUGCACCCGAUUGAGGAGAGAAAGAUGAAGGAAAUGAGCGACCAGAGUUGUCAGGAAGAUUUGAAGCUGACCCGUUCAGAGAUGAAUUGAGUAACCCUGACAUUGUAGAAAUGUCAAGAGGUCAUGCAGAAUAUUUUCCCUGUCGUACAGAAGCUUCCUUUUGCUUUUCUUGAGAAAGGUUUUGGGAGAAUAAUUUUUGAAGCCUUUCCAAUGUAUAAUUAUCAAUUAUCUUGAAGAUCUUUCCAUUUCAUACAAGAGAAGAACAUAUCAGUGACUAAGAGCAGUGGAGGCUGUGGAGCAUCAUCUCUACCCAAAAAUAGUUUGUCCUUAUAAA
rnacentral:misc_RNA from 1 species